GCAUACUCAGUCUCAAUGCGAUUUCCUUAAGAGUCAAAACCCCGACAAUUGCAUGAAGCCGGAAGCUCAGCGAUCUUCUGAUGGCAUCUAUCUGGUUUUCUAAGAAGCAUUUUGGAGGUUUUUCUUUACCUGGAGAAAGCACUGGCUAGAGCUGGAAAGCAACAGUGUGUUCAGCAAGCUGGAACUAAACUGUUCCUGAAUGGAGAGUUCCCAUCCUGCCUCAAUGGAAUCAAAGAAAAGAGAAAGGCUCCAAAACGAAUACAAUGCGUGUUAUUUGCUACCAUAAACUGUGCAACUGGUUUCUACUGCCGUGUUGCAAUUGAAUAGUAAUCAGGAGAAGUUACACGUUGUUCUUAGAAAUAAUACAACGAAUCCUGUCAAUCUUAAGUCCUGACACUGAAUUUAACGCUCUCUGUUUAGUCCUACCAUCAAGGAUGAGUUGCAGGUGAAGAAUUCUUGAUAGUCAGAUGCAGACUAUGUCUUCAGAUCCUAUGGCCUAAGGUUAUUAAGGUGGGAGAAGCAAAACAAAUGCGGUUCUCAUCCAGUAAUAAUGGAUUUACAAGAAUUUGAAACAAAACUUUCCUUCCAGCUACUGCUUUCAUGUCAGAG
rnacentral:lncRNA from 1 species